GACGAACGCUGGCGGCGUGCCUAACACAUGCAAGUCGAACGGAGUGAUGAUUUCGGUUAUCACUUAGUGGCGAACGGGUGAGUAACGCGUGAGAAACCUGCCUUUCAGUGGGGGACAACAGUUGGAAACGACUGCUAAUACCGCAUAAUGUCAUUUGGGGGCAUCCCUGGAUGACCAAAGAUUUAUUGCUGAAAGAUGGUCUCGCGUCUGAUUAGCUGGUUGGCGGGGUAACGGCCACCAAGGCGACGAUCAGUAGCCGGUCUGAGAGGAUGAACGGCCACAUUGGGACUGAGAUACGGCCCAG
rnacentral:rRNA from 1 species